CUACGGGGUGCAGCAGUGAGGAAUAUUGCACAAUGGGGGAAACCCUGAUGCAGCAACGCCGCGUGGACGAAGAAGGCCUUCGGGUCGUAAAGUCCUUUUCUGAGGGAAGAGGAAGGACGGUACCUCAGGAAUAAGUCUCGGCUAACUACGUGCCAGCAGCCGCGGUAAAGCGUAGGAGGCGAGCGUUAUCCGGAUUCACUGGGCGUAAAGGGCAAGUAGGCGGUUGUUUAAGUUAGGUGUGACAUCUCUCGGCUUAACUGGGAGGGAGCGCUUAAAACUAGGCAACUAGAGGGCGGAAGAAGGGGGUAGAACUCCAAAUGUAGCGGUGGAAUGCUCAGAUAUUUGGAAGAAUACCAGUGGCGAAGGCGACCCCCCGGUCCGUGCCUGACGCUGAGAGGCGAAAGCUAGGGUAGCGAACGGGAUUAGAUACCCGAGUAGUC
rnacentral:rRNA from 1 species